CCUGAAGGAACGUUGAAGACGACGACGUUGAUAGGUCGGGUGUGUAAGCGCAGCGAUGCGUUGAGCUAACCGGUACUAAUGAACCGUGAGGCUUAACCUUACAACGCCGAAG
rnacentral:rRNA from 1 species